UCGAGAAUCUUUCACAAUGGGGGCAACCCUGAUGGAGCGACGCCGCGUGGAGGAUAAGGUCUUCGGAUUGUAAACUCCUGUCAUGCGUGAACAAGGUUGCCUGGUUAAUACCUGGGCAAAUUGAUGGUAACGCAAGAGGAAGAGACGGCUAACUCUGUGCCAGCAGCCGCGGUAAUACAGAGGUCUCAAGCGUUGUUCGGAAUUACUGGGCGUAAAGCGUGCGCAGGCGGUUAUGCAAGACAGAUGUGAAAUCCCCGGGCUCAACCUGGGAACUGCAUCCGAUACUGCUGUGCUAGAGUACUGGAGAGGUGACUAGAAUUCUCGGUGUAGCAGUGAAAUGCGUAGAUAUCGAGAGGAAUACCAAAGGCGUAGGCAGGUCACUUGACAGUUACUGACACUGAGGCACGAAGGCCAGGGGAGCAAACG
rnacentral:rRNA from 1 species